UCCCUGGUGGUCCAGUGGUUAGGAUUUGACGCCUUCACUGCCAUGGCCUGGGUUCAAUUCCUGGUCAGAGAA
rnacentral:tRNA from 1 species